UACAGAGGUCUCAAGCGUUGGUCGGAUUCAUUGGGCGUAAAGGGUGUGUAGGUGGCGCGCUAAGUCGGGUGUGAAAUUUCGGAGCUUAACUCCGAAACUGCAUUCGAUACUGGCGUGCUUGAGGACUGGAGAGGAGACUGGAAUUCAUGGUGUAGCAGUGAAAUGCGUAGAGAUCAUGAGGAAGACCAGUGGCGAAGGCGGGUCUCUGGACAGUUCCUGACACUGAGACACGAAGGCCAGGGGAGCAAACGGG
rnacentral:rRNA from 1 species